rnacentral:lncRNA from 1 species
CUCUCUCUUAUUUGUUAAUGAAUUAAGAGAAUAUUUGAAUUCGAAAAUUCAGUAUUAAAAAAAUUUAAGUUUUCUAAGCUUUUAUUUGCUUUAUUUAUUAUUUUACUUUGCAAUAUUCAUUUUCUUAAUUUAUUUGUGAUGGUAAUAACUUGUUGAUCAUUAAUUUAUUUUAAAUUUAUAAUAAUUUUAAAAAAUAAAAAAUAAAAAGUCCAAGCCCCUUUUUUUUUCAUCCCUAACGAUGAAAAUAAUUACUUUUACAUGUAGAACUUUUUUAGAUCAUACUAUUUGUAGGUUACAAUCAAAUUCGAAAACCAUAUGAAAAGUAGUGGUUGUGGAAAAAACAUGAGAGGAAUAUGAAAAAAAUUCUUCCAUAGAUAAUAUCUCAUAGAUUUCAAAUCUCGAUUUAGAAAUUCGUGAGUUUUUCUUUUCUUUUAUUUUUGAUUGUUCAUUCUAAAAUUUCUGUUAAUACAAUUUUUUUUUUUUUUUAAGAAAGUAAACCUUUCAUUAUAGGCCACAAACAACCAAUGAUCCUUCGUCACACGGACAGAAAUACAAUGAUAUAAUAGGUUCAAAUAUAAUACUUGGGAUAAACCUAAGCCCCAAGCCACGUUCUUAAGAUAAACCUACGCCUUAAACCUAUUUCACUAUAGAUUUUUCCUUUUCAACCAAAUUGGAGAGUAUUUUCACAUAUUAGAUCUCAUCAGGCAUUAGAGAAUUUUUUACAGGUCUGCCCAACGAAGAUUUUGUUGGGGAAAGAUCAUUUUUUUUUAAUUUUUAAAAAACCUUUUAAGGAUCGCUCUCAUACAAUAUAUAGGAAUUUGUAAUCUAGAAAUCGCACCUUGAAAAUUCGAGUUGGCUUUGUCCGUUGAAGUGAUUUAGGCUCCUAAAUCACGAUCUGCCACCACCACUCUUGUUAGAUCACAAUCCGUCACCACCACGCUUGUUAGAUCACAAACUGUCACCAAUGAUCUUCCAGGUUAUGACUCAGGUUCGAUCUGCACUUGACGUGUGGGCGCCUUUAUCACUACCAAAGCAACUAGCACGAGAAAAUUUUUCUCUCAACAAUAGAGAGAAAAAUCUUUUUUUCUGAUCUGUAUAAAGUGACUUCUCUAUUUUUCUUUAGAGAAAAUAAGCCUUUUAUAUCUUCCUUUAGUGAAAAUCCUAAGCUCCAAAUAAUCAAAAAACAAAACUCAAGUUACUUGCUUUUUCUAUAGGGGACCCACAUUGUAAAAUAACAUAAGGCCCCUUACACACAAGCUAAUUAAAUGGAGCCUCCCACUAAAUGAUAUAUUUAGGCUUUUGACCCAAAUAGCUAGUUAUCUUACUUAUUAGUCCAGUAGUGGUGCAGUCAAUUAAAUGAGCUAACCCGGGGAUCAUUUAAGAACAUAAAAUAGUGGCUAUAACAAUUCGGCCUGUAAUUAAACUAACCUAAUUAUUUAAUUCCAAAUCUACUCCACUAAAAGAUUGGAAUUAAACUUCAUAAUUGUAUGCUCGAAUAAUAAUUCGUCCCAAACCACAUUGAUUUCUUUACUGCACAAUCCUUUAUACCACAUCAUUAAUUAAAUCGAUAUCUUAACUACCCAAUCAAUUUAAUUAAAUUUGUUACUUGAUACUUACUGGUUUUCUCUAAUGAUCAUUUUCAACAUACUAAAUAUGUUGACACACUAUGGCCAGAGAAUUCUAUAAUCAAGUGCCGAAAACUCAUCAAGAGAUGUGUCAUACAAAUUCUAUAUUGUUAAUCCAUAACUUCAAUACUCAUAAUUGCUCACACCAAGAUAUUGUGUAAUCUUGACCAUAAGUAUGUGUCGUGCCCAUUGGUAACUCAAAUGGAAUAACAAUUACAAUAAUGAAAUCAUAACUAACUCAAGAUUAAGAUUAUAGUAAAAUCAAUGCCUAUGAGAUUUAAUAAGUCUGACAGUCAUUUCAAGGUUAAUUAAAUCUCAUAUGUGAUCAUGUUUAAUGUAGUUGUACUACGUCAAUAAAUUCAUACAUGAUUAAGACAAAUCAUUUAAUGAAUUUAUUACGGUCUAUACCUAAAUAAAGUGUCCAACUUUAUUUAUCAACUGC